UGGCUUUGAUGCAUGACACGAAGAAUAUUUGCAUUGUUACGUCAUGCAGCCAUGCACGACGCUUUUAUAUUGAUACCGCUACGGUGUACCAUAAUUGCAGCCUUCAUUACUCAGCAUUUCAGGUUACUAAAUCCCAAGUAAUUUCCUAGUUUCCCAAGAGGAUUCUAUUUAGAAGGGUAUUUGGUCCAGACAAAGCUGUUGCAUUCCUAUGCUGCUCACCAAUUAUCAAUGGUCAUCGGAACCUACAGAGAAAAAAAGAAAGAUUUAUCACAGGUACACAGUGCAAAUUGACAGAAAUAAAGCUAUAAGGGUAAUACCUAGAUGUAGCAGAAGACGAUUUUUCGUCAACAAUCUGGAAUCACUAACAGAUGCCAUAGAAAAGGAACAUAAGCGAAUGUCAAGCUGCCUUCUCAUUGUUGAAGCAUCAUCACCUUGGGAUUUCGUCUGUUGUGUUGCUGCGGUGGUGGCUUUUUGGUUAAGACUUGAUACAAAUUUGGAGGGGAGAAUAUUACGAAGGAACGCGAAAGGCAACUGAAACUACAAGUAGCCUACCAUCAAUUCUUUGAUUAAAAUCGCCGUUCUGCUGAAUGCUUUAUCCUGUUGAUGCAGUUCAUAUUCUAUUGGUAAUCUGGAGUUUCUAAUGAUGUUGGUAGAUCACUAACCCCAGCGUGGACAACACAUGUUGUUUUUUCAGGUUUUCUACAAAUAAUGCAUUGACAGACAAGCCAUGGGUAAUCUUCAGGUUAAUUGCAGCAACUUGGGACUUGGGAGAAGUCCUGUGAAAAGACACAGGGCACAUGACCAGAUUUGUGUUUUUCUGAAUGUUCUAUUCAAGUAGUAGUUAGUUGGAUGGUUGGAACGCUAACUCAAACACAGACAACACAUUGCUGCUGCCUUACGGCCACAGGCAGGAAAAUGAUUCUUUUCUUCAGAAAAUUGGAAAGCUGUUUGAGUAAUAAUCUGGUAUUCAUCCUGACUUGAUUCAUUUCGUGCCAGUUAGUGAAAGGCGUGAAGAAUUCAAGUUUAGCUGCUGCGUGCUGUCAGCAAGCAAGCAAUCCAAUUGAUGUCCACCAGGUGGCGCGAGUGUCUUCAAGGCCCCAGUUCGGCCAUUUUGUUCCUUGACGUAGCAGAAGUGAGAUGCCGGUCGUGACGUUUCCCAAAAUGAAAAGGUGAUUGAUCUUACCACUUUGCCAUCUGAAUUGAAAAUGCCUGUACAUUUGCCGAAAUGUCGUGCCUCGUGUGUCUCGCUGCCUGUACCCAGUCGUACGUCUCAUCCCAUGCAACAGCAAAAGUCUAACAACCACGCUGCACGCUGCAGCCAGAUGGUGAAAGGUGUGAUGAAGAAAAGUGCAACCGUUGUAUGCAGGAUGUGGUGCCAGUGUUAUCCAGAAGUAGCUGUGCUGGAGUUAUUCCGAAGCAGCUGAGCCAGAAGUUGUCCAAAUUGCUGACUUUAAAAUUUUAACUGCUUUCAUUUGUGUUUUUUGCUUUGCAAGUGGUAUCUGUGGUGCUGAUUUGAAAUAUUUUUAUCCCCUUUUAUUUGUGGUUUUGCUCUGCCAGUGAGUUGCUGACUUGAAUUGGUUUCAUAUGUUGUCUUUUUUCCUUUUUACUUGGGCAGUAUACGACUGUGGCAAACUGA